AGGGAGGACCCAUAGCUCAGUGGUGGAGCCUCUGCUUUGCAUUCAGCAGGUCUCAGGUUCAAUCUCUGGCUUCCCCA